rnacentral:rRNA from 1 species
CGGACCUCAGAUCAGACAAGAC